UAUACAGGUGUCUGCACAUCGGUGCAGGUGAAAAGGGAAACGGGUGAGAAUCCCGUACAAGGCCGUUGCUGUGUUGGAGUAGCCGUUGCUUGGAAGUCAUUAGGAGAGGUUCCUGAGAAGAGAAGCAGCUGUGUCGGAUGCCAGAGUCAGAAGACCUGCCUGUAUAU
rnacentral:ncRNA from 1 species